GCGACCCGACCUCGGAUAAGCGGAAGAAGAUGGAUGGAAAAGUAAAAGUUUGUUGCAUAAAAACUACUCUUUAUCCCAAAAGUUACUCAAGUAGAUGUAACGGAGUAAAUGCAGCGCGUUACUACCCACCUCUGCCUCCGAGAUAACCACGAACAGAACCAGACUUCUCUCUUGCCUCCUUCCAGAUGUUCCAAAAAGGCCACACUGACAAAAAAAUGUACGUUUCAGCUAAACUAUACCGCCGUUCUCAACUCUUCUGGCGUGUUCUUGCGUCAUGUAAACACGCAGUCCCGUGCAGAAGUCCUUAGUCACCGUUUUUCACAUUGUGACAGACCACCGAGAAGGAUUUCAAGGUAAGGCAUGUCAUCAGUACACAAAAAAACAACAUCAUGUAAGCAAACCAACAAACAUAAUAAUUACCCUAACUGCUAGGUAUUUAUUUUAGUCUCGAAAACCACAUCGUUUCUGGCACACGCCCCGACAGGUAGGCUCGCACGUAGCGUGAGAGCGGCGUGCCGUAUUUUCACAAUCGCAUACUUGUUUGUGGGGGAGCCAAAGAUCUUCUCGAUAAGCACUGAGUCAGCGGGUCUUGAAAGAGGUUGCUCAAAGGACACCAAGUCCUGACUGGAAGGCAACUAUUUCUUGCGUGGCCCCAGGAUGCAGAGACAGCAGCGACGUGCAAGUAGAAGGGCAUUUUAUUACCUACCAACAUUUUUCACAAUUACAAAGCUUAAGUAAAAUGUUGUUUUUUACCAGCCCGAAUGAAAUGAUUGGGCGUUUACGACGGUCACCCUUCAACAAGUACACACAGGCCACGGGCAAGACCCAGGACAUGUUGGGGAGACUAUAUCUCCUGGCUGACUUGGGAAGGCCUUGGCGUCCCCCGGGAGGAGCUGGAUGAAGUGGCUUGGGAAAGUGAAGUCUGGGCUUCUGUGCUUAGGCUGCUGCCCCCGCGAUCCGACCUCAGAUAAGCGGAAGAAGGAGGAAGGAGAUGGCACAGACAGGAGGGGCGCCUUUUAUGUCAUGUCUAUGGGAUCGUGUUUUGUUUUGGUCAUGUUCGGUUUUGUUGUUUGGACAAUCAAUUCUUGUUUUGCACUUUCUGGUUUGUUUUGUUACCUUAGCAACUCAUUAGUUUUCACCUUGUCCUCAUGUCACGCCCCUGUCCUCAUGUCUCACACCUGUUUGCACUAAUCAUGUCUAUUAUUUAAGCCUGUCUGUUUCUGUUCUUCGUCCUGGCAACAUCACGGUCUAUCACCUCCUUCCCACGUCUACCACCUGCUACGCACCUUGCAAUGAUCCAUGUACCGUUCACUGUUCCUUGUCAAGUAAGUUUUUGUUUAUAGUUCAUAGUUAAUUGCCUCUGUGCUAGUCUUUUGUUUUUCAUUAGUCAAGAUUGUUCUCUGCCAUUGUGCGCGCCUUUUGUUUGUUCCUGUUUGUUUGUAGCUUGUUAGUGUAAUAAAGAUAUGUACUUACAUUCA